GCGAUUUCGGGGUUGGUCCCAUAACACAAGCGCUGGUGGCCUAGCGGUAAGAGCGUGCGACUUUCAAUCCGGAGGUCGCGGGUUCAAACCCCGGCUCGUACCAAUGAGUUUUCGGAACUUAUGUACGAAAUAUCAUUUGAUAUUUACCAGUCGCUUUGAAGGAAAACAUCGUGAGGAAACCGGAUUAAUCCUAAUAAGGCCUAGUUCCCCUCCAGGUUGGAAGGUCAGAUGGCAUCGCUUUCGUAAAAACUAGUGUCUACGCCAAUUCUUGGGAUUAGUUGCCAAGCGGACCCCAGGCUCCCAUGAACCGUGGCAAAAAUGCCGGGACAACGCGAGGAAGA